CGGCGGGGAGCAGAGAUACAGCGCGCCUUGGCCCGCUUAGCCUGGCCGGCCCGCUGCUCCCGGACCAGACCGGGGUGCCCUGGAGAGCCUUCCCACGGGGUCUCUCCAGGGAUGACGUCACCUGCCCACCAUCUAGUCUUCAAAGACCACCUGUGCCAGCCGAUGCCAGCCGAUGCCAGCCGAUGCCAAGCAGAUGCCAAGUGCCUGCUGAUCACCUGCAUCUCAUGGGGGCACGAGAGUCACCAGCUCUUGGAUCCCACCACCCUGCUCCGAGGCCUCCAGCAGCACCACCUCCCACGCCCCCCAGCAGGAUGUAGAAGAAUGAAGAGGACCAGAGAGGACCAGUUUACCUCCACUCGCCCUCAUGGCUCAAGGCUUCUGCCCAGGCCCUAGUGAGGGGGCUCUGGCCAUUAGCUCUUCACCUUUGUGCUAUGCAUUUGCUUGAUGCUCUGAGCACCUUCCUGUAAGUCUCUGCUUGCCUUAACAUGCCCGUGAACUGGAGUGUUACCUUCCCCCUCCCCUUGGGAGGCCACAGUUUGCCUCGACUUGCCUCCCGUGUGCCCUCCACAGGUCCUGAAUUGGAAGGACCCCUUUGGGAAUGUUACAGGAGGGGGACCUGGGCUGCGGGCAAUUUAGGGUUCAGGAGUGGGAGAAUGGAAUUAGCAUGAGCUUUGAGACCACAGCAGUCCUGAUGACUACCAGGGCAUGAACCUACCCCGCUGUAGUAUCUCCUUGUCUUUCUGGGUCACAAAGUGGGGUGGGAUGGGGUGUUUGUGUAAAGAGGAGCACCGUUCCAGGACGGCGUGAGGACUGAAGGAGAUCAGGUAACCUGGGGCCACAGCUGGGCAUGAAGGACUCUGGAAAUGUUUGGUGAAGGGUUUCUGCAGGGAUUUCACAGGCCAUAUGCCCUGCCCCACCCUCACCUGCUCUUGUCCGUUCCCCCCCUCCCCCCAAGCAUGCAGACCCAGACCGACUCCUUCCCAGGUAGGUCCCCUGGGGCACACUUAGUCUUAAGUCAGCCACAUAUGCAAAUGAGGACACUCAUUGUAUGGGAAAGACCCCCUGACACCCACACGAUGCCUCCAUCUGGUCUCCCACACACCUGGCCAGCCCAGUGGACUGAGACCCACUUGUGGGACGUUCAGUUUUUGGCACCAUCAGGGGUUAGAGUUGAACCCAGGAUGCCACUGUCUCUGCCCCCUUUCCCUGCCCGCUCCUGCACCCCACAGUCCCCCUCCCCAUUUGACUUGGAGCACUUUUAUUUCUUACCAGUCACCCAUUCCCACCAUGGGACAGCAGUGUGUCUGGCCCUGCCAGCCCGACUUCUCUCUCUGUGCCUGUGCAACCUUGAAUAAGUUGCCACCCCUCUUUUUUUCCCAAAUCUCUUUCCUCUCCAAACCCCAACCCACCCCCCAUAGGGGCCUCUAUAGGGGACCUUUAGAAGACCCACGAGUGACUCCAGGCUCUAUGGUGGGUGUGACAACUUUCUCUGCGCCCUCAUCUCCCCUACCCCACACCCCAUGUUCUGGCUCUCAUCGUCUUGACCCAGAGCAGCCAAGGGGCCUGUCUGUGCACCUGAAGUCCCUGGCUAGAGGAAGCCCCUUGCAGCAUCCACUCAGCAAACAUUUCUGGACUGCCAACACCCUGGCCUGCCCACCUGGCCUGGUACGUGACACAGAGACAAGAGACUCGCUCACUUGCUCGCUCUUUUUCUCCCCUCUUCAGCCAGCCAGUUUGGUCUGGACAAGACAAAAGUCCCCCCUCCCCCCAAAGGGGCUGGGCUGGAUGAACAAUGACCACCCCCCACCCAAGUUGUCUGAUUUGGAUUAUUAGGAAGGUGGAAAAGGGGGGUCUGGCUGUGGAAGGGGGAGGGGAGUUGGCAGGCCCUACAGGGCCUUGUCUCUAUUUCCUCUGUGCCCUUCACAAGAGGACCUGUGUCAUGUCGGGCGUUCGAAACCCAGGCCCCGUGAGUUUGAAAUUAGUCCCCUAGGGCUUCUGCUCUAGGGGGUAACUCCGGAGACAAACUAUGCCCCACAAUACUGGUGGCAAAGGCCCCGGUGCCCUUCUCCAUUCACGUAAACCUCACAGCAUGUCCUGCCCGCGCCUCCAAAGGGAACAGGGGUCGUCAAGUGACACAGGGGAGUCCGAGGGACUUGUGCACCCCCAUUGUCUUCUGCCUUGCAAAAGGAGACACAUCUUUGGUGCUGGCCCCACCCCUUACCUGAUUUCCCCUCCUCUUCCUUCUAAGCCCUCUGGACCCCAAACUUGGCUCCUUCUAUAGACGAUUCAGGGCCAUGGCUGCUCCCCCCCUCUUGGCUCCCUCACCGGCUUCUACAGUCUCUCUCUUUCCUUUCCAGCCCAGCUUCUUGAAAGGCCCGUCUACACUCGUGCCUGUCUACAUUCGCUGUCUCCUUCCUCACCUCCAAUUUCCUCUCCAACUCACUGCUUCUAGACUUGCUCUCCUGCAGCGAAGGCCUCUGCCAGGUUUGGGAGCUGCCCGAGUCCCCCUCGGUGGCCUGGCCCGGCCCUCGCCCACUGGCCCGGCCCUCGCCCACCUUUCUCGGCGCAGAGCAAGCACAGGUGGGUGCACCCUGCACCCGUGGUCAAAGGAGAGAAAAGGCCGGACCUGCUGUGGACCUGCUGUGGACCUGCUGUGGACCUGCUGUGGACCUGCUGUGGACCCACUGUGGACCCAUCGUGGACCCUGCCCGGACCCCUCCCGGACUCCUCCUGGACCCUGCUGACGCCCCUCCAGCCCCUGACUGCUGCUGCUGCUUCUUUGCUCUGGAUUCAGCUGAAACUUCUCUGGGGGGAGGAACCUCGGAUCCCUGACCCAGCUUUGACGCCCUCCCUGUCUGCAGAAGUACCCCCCAGGGGGACAGAACAGUGGUCUUCAACUGUGUCUGUCUCCCUCAGCCUCCACAGCCACGACCCUCCACACCUUCCCACGAGACAGGCCGCGCCCAGCACCUCGGGACCGGCACCCCUAGUGGCCUCCACCCUCUGACUGAUGGACAGCACGCCUCUGACCCCACCCCCUUGCGAGCCCUGAGACUUGGGGGACACGGAGGGUCCUCCUGUGGAAAGGGCCAGGCUCCUACCUCACAGGGCUGUUGUGAGGCAUGGGGAGGCGCCGGAUGUGGGGUCUCCACCUUGGCCUCAAUAAAUGUUUGUUUGAACUA